GCUCGGGCCCAUCCCGUCACCGCCCAUUGGACCUGGGUCCGCUCAGGGGCGCCGGCCUGGCGGCGGUUCCGAGUCGGGCGCGUGCCGGCAGGGUUCCCAUUGCCAGCGGCGCAGCCAGACUAGGGGCUGCCCUCCGCCUUCUCGCCAUGGACGCGGACGACUCCCGGGCCCCCAAGGGCUCCUUGCGGAAGUUCCUGGAGCACCUCUUCGGGGCCCGCAAGGCCAUCGGCGUGCUGACCAGCGGCGGGGAUGCUCAAGGGUUGGAUUCUCAGAGAAAGAAAAGGUGAUGCAGCAGACGCUGGGAUUGGAGAAAUUACCAGAGUGAAGUGGAAAUAGUCUGGCCAGCGUGACUUAAACCGGCCCGGAGAUGUGCAAGUACCAGUGGAACCGCCUGGGGUCGGGAUAGGACCCAGAGUGGCUUCUCAGUCAAAGGCCUUCAGAAGCAGAGGGAACAUCUUGAGUGACUUUACCCGGGCCGCGAAAGACAAGAAACCUUUGGCACGGGAAGAGGAACCGAUCUCUGGAAGUCACCAGGGCGGGUGGAAGGUCAGGGGUUCAAGGUUAUUUUGGAAUUUAGGUGCUGUGGUUCCUGCACGGUGGCUCAUGCUUGUCAUUCCAGUGCAUUGGGAGGCCAAGGCAGGAGGAUCGCUUGAGCCCAGGAGUUCCAGAGCAGCCUGGACAACAUAGUGAGACUCUGUGUCUACAAAAAAAAAAAAAAAAAAAAACACGAAAGAAAAACACAUUAAGAUGCUGUAUGUAUUGGAAAAUAUUUAUGGGUCAUUCUUUUGAGCUUCAUGUCCAAAAGCUUGCUAAAAUGCUUGGGAGUUUGUGUACAGGCAUGUGAGAUUAGGAUACAUUGGCAGAAUCGCGGUGUUCUCUGUUAUCCUGGUUUUGCCACCCGGGAGGAGUUACACAUAUUGAAGGACGCAAGGAUUGAGAACAAUGGACUUUUUGAUGUGUGUUGCAACAAACUCAUAGCCGAGGGCUGUAAAUCGGAGGGAUCACCAGGUCUGCCUACCAGCCACGAGGGAAGUGGUGAGAAGCUGUCACCCCAACUUGAGUUUCAAGAAGACUCCUUGGAAGAAGAGACCACCAAAUUGAGAAUGAAAAGAUCAUACACGGGGGUCGUCAGACAUGGUCUGAGACCUGCUGGGAAGAACAGUAGCCCUGCUACCCCCUGGCUUCUGCUCACAGCACUGACCCCAGCUAAUCCAAGAACAUGUCACCUAUAAUGAGAAUAAUGAAGAAAAAUCAACCAUCUUCCAGAUGUGUCUAUAUCAUGAUACGGUACAUGGGACAGCAAGUUGUAGCUAUUCUUGAGAUGGGGCAGUGGCUCCAUGCUCUGGCCCCCGACCUCAGCAGCUGUCCCAGCUCAUCACCCUGAGUGCCAGCUUUCCCAU